rnacentral:rRNA from 1 species
UUAAGUUAUUAAGGGCGCACGGUGGAUGCCUUGGCACUAGAAGCCGAUGAAGGACGUUACUAACGACGAUAUGCUUUGGGGAGCUGUAAGUAAGCUUUGAUCCAGAGAUUUCCGAAUGGGGAAACCCAGCAUGAGUUAUGUCAUGUUAUCGAUAUGUGAAUACAUAGCAUAUCAGAAGGCACACCCGGAGAACUGAAACAUCUUAGUACCCGGAGGAAGAGAAAGAAAAUUCGAUUCCCUUAGUAGCGGCGAGCGAAACGGGAAGAGCCCAAACCAAAAGCUUGCUUGUUGGGGUUGUAGGACACUCUAUACGGAGUUACAAAGGACGACAUUAGACGAAUCAUCUGGAAAGAUGAAUCAAAGAAGGUAAUAAUCCUGUAGUCGAAAAUGUUGUCUCUCUUGAGUGGAUCCUGAGUACGACGGAGCACGUGAAAUUCCGUCGGAAUCUGGGAGGACCAUCUCCUAAGGCUAAAUACUCUCUAGUGACCGAUAGUGAACCAGUACCGUGAGGGAAAGGUGAAAAGCACCCCGGAAGGGGAGUGAAAUAGAACCUGAAACCGUGUGCUUACAAGUAGUCAGAGCCCGUUAAUGGGUGAUGGCGUGCCUUUUGUAGAAUGAACCGGCGAGUUACGAUUUGAUGCAAGGUUAAGCAGUAAAUGUGGAGCCGUAGCGAAAGCGAGUCUGAAUAGGGCGUUUAGUAUUUGGUCGUAGACCCGAAACCAGGUGAUCUACCCUUGGUCAGGUUGAAGUUCAGGUAACACUGAAUGGAGGACCGAACCGACUUACGUUGAAAAGUGAGCGGAUGAACUGAGGGUAGCGGAGAAAUUCCAAUCGAACCUGGAGAUAGCUGGUUCUCUCCGAAAUAGCUUUAGGGCUAGCCUCAAGUGAUGAUUAUUGGAGGUAGAGCACUGUUUGGACGAGGGGCCCCUCUCGGGUUACCGAAUUCAGACAAACUCCGAAUGCCAAUUAAUUUAACUUGGGAGUCAGAACAUGGGUGAUAAGGUCCGUGUUCGAAAGGGAAACAGCCCAGACCACCAGCUAAGGUCCCAAAAUAUAUGUUAAGUGGAAAAGGAUGUGGCGUUGCCCAGACAACUAGGAUGUUGGCUUAGAAGCAGCCAUCAUUUAAAGAGUGCGUAAUAGCUCACUAGUCGAGUGACACUGCGCCGAAAAUGUACCGGGGCUAAACAUAUUACCGAAGCUGUGGAUUGUCCUUUGGACAAUGGUAGGAGAGCGUUCUAAGGGCGUUGAAGCAUGAUCGUAAGGACAUGUGGAGCGCUUAGAAGUGAGAAUGCCGGUGUGAGUAGCGAAAGACGGGUGAGAAUCCCGUCCACCGAUUGACUAAGGUUUCCAGAGGAAGGCUCGUCCGCUCUGGGUUAGUCGGGUCCUAAGCUGAGGCCGACAGGCGUAGGCGAUGGAUAACAGGUUGAUAUUCCUGUACCACCUAUAAUCGUUUUAAUCGAUGGGGGGACGCAGUAGGAUAGGCGAAGCGUGCGAUUGGAUUGCACGUCUAAGCAGUAAGGCUGAGUAUUAGGCAAAUCCGGUACUCGUUAAGGCUGAGCUGUGAUGGGGAGAAGACAUUGUGUCUUCGAGUCGUUGAUUUCACACUGCCGAGAAAAGCCUCUAGAUAGAAAAUAGGUGCCCGUACCGCAAACCGACACAGGUAGUCAAGAUGAGAAUUCUAAGGUGAGCGAGCGAACUCUCGUUAAGGAACUCGGCAAAAUGACCCCGUAACUUCGGGAGAAGGGGUGCUCUUUAGGGUUAACGCCCAGAAGAGCCGCAGUGAAUAGGCCCAAGCGACUGUUUAUCAAAAACACAGGUCUCUGCUAAACCGUAAGGUGAUGUAUAGGGGCUGACGCCUGCCCGGUGCUGGAAGGUUAAGAGGAGUGGUUAGCUUCUGCGAAGCUACGAAUCGAAGCCCCAGUAAACGGCGGCCGUAACUAUAACGGUCCUAAGGUAGCGAAAUUCCUUGUCGGGUAAGUUCCGACCCGCACGAAAGGCGUAACGAUUUGGGCACUGUCUCAACGAGAGACUCGGUGAAAUCAUAGUACCUGUGAAGAUGCAGGUUACCCGCGACAGGACGGAAAGACCCCGUGGAGCUUUACUGUAGCCUGAUAUUGAAAUUCGGCACAGCUUGUACAGGAUAGGUAGGAGCCUUUGAAACGUGAGCGCUAGCUUACGUGGAGGCGCUGGUGGGAUACUACCCUAGCUGUGUUGGCUUUCUAACCCGCACCACUUAUCGUGGUGGGAGACAGUGUCAGGCGGGCAGUUUGACUGGGGCGGUCGCCUCCUAAAAGGUAACGGAGGCGCUCAAAGGUUCCCUCAGAAUGGUUGGAAAUCAUUCAUAGAGUGUAAAGGCAUAAGGGAGCUUGACUGCGAGACCUACAAGUCGAGCAGGGUCGAAAGACGGACUUAGUGAUCCGGUGGUUCCGCAUGGAAGGGCCAUCGCUCAACGGAUAAAAGCUACCCCGGGGAUAACAGGCUUAUCUCCCCCAAGAGUUCACAUCGACGGGGAGGUUUGGCACCUCGAUGUCGGCUCAUCGCAUCCUGGGGCUGUAGUCGGUCCCAAGGGUUGGGCUGUUCGCCCAUUAAAGCGGUACGCGAGCUGGGUUCAGAACGUCGUGAGACAGUUCGGUCCCUAUCCGUCGUGGGCGUAGGAAAUUUGAGAGGAGCUGUCCUUAGUACGAGAGGACCGGGAUGGACAUACCUCUGGUGUACCAGUUGUCGUGCCAACGGCAUAGCUGGGUAGCUAUGUGUGGACGGGAUAAGUGCUGAAAGCAUCUAAGCAUGAAGCCCCCCUCAAGAUGAGAUUUCCCAACUUCGGUUAUAAGAUCCCUCAAAGAUGAUGAGGUUAAUAGGUUCGAGGUGGAAGCAUGGUGACAUGUGGAGCUGACGAAUACUAAUCGAUCGAAGACUUAAUC